rnacentral:rRNA from 1 species
UACGUAGGGGGCAAGCGUUGUCCGGAAUUAUUGGGCGUAAAGAGCGUGUAGGCGGUCCGGUAAGUCGGCUGUGAAAGUCCAGGGCUCAACCCUGGGAUGCCGGUCGAUACUGCCGGACUAGAGUUCGGAAGAGGCGAGUGGAAUUCCCGGUGUAGCGGUGAAAUGCGCAGAUAUCGGGAAGAACACCCGUGGCGAAAGCGGCUCUCUGGAACGGUACUGACGCUGAGACGCGAAAGCGUGGGGAGCGAACAGG